UUGCUUGGGCAGCACAUACACUAACGUUAGAACAAUACAGAUGACAUUAGCAUGGCCCCUGCACAAGGAUGACACACACAAAUUCAUAAAGUGUUACAUAUUUUU